AAUCUUUCUGAGAAGGUUGGCGAUGAUGUUGUUCGUCCUAUAUGUUGAGGAAGAGCCACUUAAACGAAGCAUAGAUUCAGAUAAUGACUCGGAAGACGAAGCGGCUAGUGCUGUGAAUCCUUUGUCUAGCGAUGCUGCUCACAUCCAUCCAUUGUUACAAAAUCUCCUGCUCAACAAUGACAUCCAGAGGGAAAGAUAAAAUUUAAUCGGAUUGAUUCAACUCCAUGAUCCAACUGCUCGUAAGUUUUCUCUUUCCUGACCAGAGUUUUGCUUUUUUCUGUUUAACUAGUUUGAUUGAUUAUGAUCUUGAUUUGUACUGAGAGAAAUGCACCCAUGAAUGCAUGAAGGCGAGCAGGACCAGUUUGCUUCUCAUUUUGCUUUUGACAUAGAGUGGAAGUUGGUGUGAGGAUAGGAAUAAAAGCUUUUAAGUUCCGAAAAUUCACAGACAGGAGCGGAGGCAGAUCUAGCUUCGGAAAAAAAAUGGUUUUGAUUGUUCCAAUGGUUUUAAAUGCUGCAGUCAGAAGAAAGCAAAUGCUCAGCUAGAAGAACAGAUACAGCGCUUGACGAAGAGCAGUGAUCCAUAAAGACAUGAUUUACUUUGCACUCCAUUUUGAGUGAGG